UACGUAGGGGGCAAGCGUUGUCCGGAUUUAUUGGGCGUAAAGAGCGUGUAGGCGGCCAUACAGGUCCGUUGUGAAAACUGGAGGCUUAACCUCCAGACGUCGAUGGAAACCGUAUGGCUAGAGUCCGGAAGAGGAGAGUGGAAUUCCUGGUGUAGCGGUGAAAUGCGCAGAUAUCAGGAAGAACACCCGUGGAGAAGGCGGCUCUCUGGGACGGUACUGACGCUGAGACGCGAAAGCGUGGGGAGCGAACAGG
rnacentral:rRNA from 1 species